rnacentral:tRNA from 3 species
GCCGAUGUGGUGGAAUGGUAGACACGGUAGAUUCAAAAUCUGCUCUUAGCAAUAGGGUGCUGGUUCGAGUCCAGUCAUCGGCA